UAAACCUUUUUCUUUUAUAAAUUGCUCAGUCUUAGGUAUGUCUUUAUUAGCAGUGUGAAAAUGGACCAAUACACUGCCCUUAAUUGUCUUUUUAUUCACUGUUACUGGUUUAAAAUCUGUUUUAUCUGAUAAAAGAAUAGCAAUCCCUGCUCUGUGUUGUUUUCCAUUUGCAUGAUGUAUCUUUCUUCACCCCUUUACAUUGAGCUUGAGGGUGUCAUUACAGAUUAGGUGGGUCUCUUGUAGCAGUAGAUGAUUGGGUCUCUCUUUGUUUUUUUUUUCUUUUUAUCCAGUUUGCCAAUCUAGAUAUUUUAAGUGCAGCAUUUAGACUAUAUACAUUCAAAGGUAAUAUUGAUAUGUGAGGCUUUGAUUCUGUCAUAGUUUGUUAGGUAGUUACUUUGAAUCACCCAAUGUCUGCCUUAAUAUUCACAUGGAACUCUCCCUGUGUGCUUGUCUGUCUCCAAAUUUCCCCUUUUAUAAGGACAUGAGUCAUAUUGAAUUAAGAGCCCACCUUACUCAAGCACGACCUCAUCUAAACUAUUAUUAUAUAUAAAUAUGUCUGCAAUUACCCUAUUUCCAAAUAAGGUCACAUUCUAAAGUACUCAGGAUUAGGACUGCAACAAACAGAUGUUGUGGAGACACAAUUCAACACAUAAGACUUUGAGACUUUGCUUCCAAUAUGGAAUUGAUAUCCCAAAACCCAUAUGAGGUGCCUUCUCUCUGAGACUUUUAGCCUGAAUCUACUAAUGUGAAGGAGGAGGGUUAGUUGCUACGGUAGAUGCUAUUUUGCUAAUGUUCCAUAGAAGUGAAGGCAGUGAGGUUGAGAGUUGAGGGGCUCAGUGGGGAGGAUACUGUUGUGGCUGCUCCAGGGAUUGCAUUUGAAUUUUGUCUGGGUUCUUGAUGACCUAGAUUCCCUUGGUUCCUUCCAAUUCUCUUAGCUUUAUUUGCCCACAUGUCUCCAAAUUCUUGAGUUGUUUAAUAACUUUCCAGUGAAAGUCCUGUUUGGCUCCAGUUAGCCAGAGUUGGUUUCUGUUGUGUAUAAGCAAUAAACUUGUCAAGUACACAUACUUCAUGAUAUUUUAUAUCUUUUCAGUUCAUCCUAUAUUAAAAAGUAAGAAAAUAAUUCAAUUGCAUAAAUCAGGAAAUUCUUUAAUUAGACCUUUAAAGUUAAACAGCCAUUACAAUGAACAAAUUCCAUGUUACUGGAAAUAAUAUGGUUUUGUUUCUAAUUGAGUUUAAGGUAACUAACUUCAGUCUGAGCAAAUGAGAACUAUGGUAUGAUUAAAUUAUAUAUAUCAUUGAAUUCAACUCCAACUGAAGUCAUUAUCAGAAAAGUCAUUAUUGAAGAAUUAUGCUACUAUUCCUUGCUGAGAUGGAUGAGGGAAGGAAAAACAUAAUCUUAUUAACUUUUAAAAUUAUAUUUCAUUUAUGAGGUAAGGAAUUUAUGAAAUGAAACACUAAGCAUCAUAUUUCAGGUAAAUUUUGUGAUAUAAAUCAGUUGUAUUUAUAGAUUCAAAGCUAAGCUUGAAAAAAGUCUCAGAAGCUAAGGGGCUGAUGACCCUAUAAACUGUAAAAUGUGUUAACACCAAUAAAUUCUGGUCCCUCAGUUCAAAGGGCAUUUGAUUAUACGCUGCACUGUCAGUGCUACUCACAUCGGAGCUCAUCUUGGAAUGAUAAACAAGGCAGGCCUGUAAUGUAUACCAGAGAAUGACAAGAUGCACCUGUCCCUACAAGUUUUGAGACAAAACAGUAGGCACUUGCAGACAGCUGUGUCAUCUAUGAGAAAGUCUACUCAUAGGCUCACCAACAGGCAAGAAGAAACACCCCCAGCCAGUUUAGACUACAACAUCACAAUGUUUGCAUUGGUAUAUCUUUUAUUUCUCUGAGAUUAUUUUGAAUAGAAAACUAUGUUGGCUAAAAUCUAUUAGUAAAAUUCCUUUGUAUGUAAUAAAGGGCUGUUGAUCUCUG